AUUGUUUGCUUCAGCCUUCCCUGCCAGGUGGAACCAGGGAACCCAGCUCUGCUCUAUCCUUUCCUGCCUGGAAACCCCAAGGGAGAAAGCAAAACAUGGAACCACAGCGAGCUUCUUACUGCUUCUGCAGACUCAGCCCAGUUGGCAGAGCCUCCAAUUUUCUUCUGGAUCAAACUGAUGUUGCUGAUUCGAGAACUGAGCUACCACUGCUGAUUCCUGACAAUGAAGAUUGGA
rnacentral:lncRNA from 1 species